ACCUUAUUAAGAGCGGUGGAGGGAAUAGGCCCAGUGAAGCCCAGCAACCAGCAGUUUUUAGCUGCAAGGUGCUAAAUCCUACAGAAUGUAAGUUCUGAAAGAUGAGGU
rnacentral:ncRNA from 2 species